UCUUUCUUCACUCUGAAGCCAAGAGCAGACCUGCUGAGCCCUCAAGAAAGAUCAGAACAGAUUCAUGGGUGAUUUAGCCUAUCUGUCCCAGGCCAGGGUGGCUGAGUGUGCUGACUGGAGGCCUCUCUCUCUGCUUCGAGUGUAGCUGAGAUCCACCCCGGAAACCGGCACGAUGAAGGGAGCAAGUGAGGAGAAGCUGGCAUCUGUGUCCAACCUGGUCACUGUGUUUGAGAAUAGCAGGACCCCAGAAGCAGCACCCAGAGGCCACAGGCUAGAGGACGUGCAUCACUGCCCUGAGCACAGGCCUCCCGAGUCCCCAGGACCACGGGGGAAGGUGAAUGUUGGGGAGGCCGUGGGGUCUGAGCCCAGGACAGUCAGCAGGAGGUACCUGAACUCCCUGAAGAACAAGCUGUCCAGCGGAGCCUGGAGGAAAUCUUGCCAGCCUGCGACCCUCUCAGGAUCGGGGACGCAGGUGCCUGAGGGCUGGGGUAGAGGUGUGGGGUGCCGGGGUGGGGAGCUCUCCCUGACCUCCCCUCCACACAUUCUUCCCUAGCCAGAGCCAGCAGUUCCCCAGGUGGGGGUGUUGUGUGAUCAGAGGUCAGCUGGGAGCUAGAUUUCCCCAUGCUUAAUGGCCUUUGAUUCACUAACUGCCUGCUACACACCGUGCUGGAUUACUUUGUGAGUCCCUCGUGUAGGAGUUUUUUGGACAAGGAAGUUGAAACACAGACAGUUUUAAGGAACUUAUUCAAGGCCACACAGCUUGGAACAGUCGCCAUCUUGUGAACUUGAUACUCUUCUCAGGUGGGGCCUCAGUUUACCCACUGGAGGAGACAACAAUCUCAACAUAGAAAUAGAGGUCUGAGUGUGAACUGUCCUGCCCUUAGGCUAAAGCCCGGUCUGAUCUCUUCUGUGGCUUGCAGUUUUCUCAUCUGCAGAGUUCAAGGGUUGGCAUGCAGAUACUGUGCACCCAAAUUCCCUGGAGUCACAUCCUAGCACAUCUGCUUACUAACUGUGUGUCCUUGGGCAAGUCACUUGAGUCUCUUUGUGCCAGUUUCCUCAUUUGUAAAAUGGGAAUAGUGAUUGUAGUAAUGUGUCCUGGUUUUCAAUCGCUGCUGAACAAACCUCUCAAAAAUAUAGCGGCUGGCCGGGCGCAGUAGCUCACGCCUGUAAUCCCAGCACUUUAGGAGGCCGAGGUGGGCAGAUCACCUGAGGUCAGGAGUUCAAGACCAGCCUGGCCAACAUAGGGAAACACUGUCUCAGCUAAAAAUACAAAAAUUAGUCAGGCGUGGUGGUGGGUGCCUAUAAUCCCAGCUACUCAGGAGGCUGAGACAGGAGAAUCACUUGAAUCCAGGAGGAGGAGGUUGCAGUGAGCCGAGAUCACGCCACUCCACUCCAGCCUGGGUGACAGAGCAAGACUCCGUCUCAAAAAAAAAAAAAAAAAAAAAGAUA
rnacentral:sRNA from 1 species